GCCAGGUGUGGUGGUGCAUGCCUGUAAUCCCAGCUACUUGGGAGGCUGAGGCAAGAGGAUCACUUGAGCCCAGGAGGCAGAGGUUGCAGUAAGCCGAGAUCAUGCCACUGCACUCCAGCCUGGGCAACAGGGUGAGACCCUGUCUCAA
ensembl:misc_RNA Metazoa_SRP Metazoan signal recognition particle RNA